rnacentral:rRNA from 1 species
AGCAGCCGCGGUAAUUCCAGCUCCAAUAGCGUAUAUUAAAGUUGUUGCAGUUAAAAAGCUCGUAGUUGAAUUUCGGGGUCAGUAGGUUGGUCAUGCCACUGGUAUGUACUGGCCUCACUGAUUCCCCCUUCCUGAUGAGCCGUAACGCCAUUAAUUUGGUGUUGCGAGGAACCUGGACUGUUACUUUGAAAAAUUAGAGUGUUUAAAGCAGGCUAACGCUUGAAUACAUUAGCAUGGAAUAAUGAAAUAGGACGUUCGAUCUUAUUUUGUUGGUUUCUAAGAUUGACGUAAUGAUUAAUAGGGAUAGUUGGGGGCAUUAGUAUUCAAUUGUCAGAGGUGAAAUUCUUGGAUUUAUUGAAGACUAACUACUGCGAAAGCAUUUGCCAAGGAUGUUUUCAUUAAUCAAGAACGAAAGUUAGGGGAUCGAAGACGAUCAGAUACCGUCGUAGU